GAAAGGAACUGUGAAUGCGGAGAGACUCUAAGCAGUUCAAAUCUAUAAGAGGACUUUCCCUUUGCCAAGAAUUGGUGAGCUGCCUAGGGGAUUGGAGUUAGGAGAAUUUAGGCUGGCCUGGAUUCUUCUGGGGUUUGUGCUAGUACCCCAUUUUCCUUGGAUAUUGGAAAAUUCUAAGCAGUUUAAGUCUGGAAGGGUUCUCCAUUUUCCUUUGGCAAAACCUCUGCUUGAUGACGUGGUGGCCAGAGAGCUCUAAAGACCUCUGAUUGAGGAGAGCGGGUGCUUACUAAUUCCUAGAAGAAGCAGAGAAGGACCUUACCAGACCUUACAGAUGAUUGAGACUGCAAUUUGGAGGCUGAGAACAAAAAAAUACAACCUCAAGAAUGGGCUGUUAAGGACAAUUUGUAACCUCUAAAACUGACUUUGUAUUUAGGAAUGUUUUGUGGGAGGGGAGAUCAAUUGUGCUUAGAGGAAUUUUAACCAUACUGGUGUUGUAUCUGUUAUUUGUAUUUCUAGAAAAGUUUAUAGAGACUUCCAUAUUGGAGAACAUUGAAUUAAUAUGUUUUUUUUUAGAAUAAAGAAACUAUUGAUGUUAAUUCUGAUAAAGUUGAUUAAUGUGAAAUUAGGACAGUAUAUUCUAUAUUCUAGGUGAGCUUUAAUUUGUUGUAUUGAGUCAUUUUAAAGUUGUUCCCAUUGUUUAGGGAAUUCUGAGAACAAUGGUCUAUGUCUUUGUCUCUUUGAACAUAGUUAAUACGUGAGCAUGUUUUGAUGUAGAUUGGUUAAUGAGUAAAAUGAUUUGUGUAAUGUUGAAUUUAAAACCCAUCUACUUAGACAUGAAGAUAAGCUAUAAACUUUCUAGAAUGAAUUUCUUGCAAUUAUCAAUGUAAGAUUAUAGUCAAUACUUAUUUAGGAUAUGUGAUCCUUGAGAGCUAAAUUCACAUGAAGCUUUGAUUAAUGAGACUGGCUCUUUGAGAUAAAAUAUCUUUGGACUAUAGCUGAUAUUAUUUGGAGUUUUGAAUUCAGGUAUGGUUAUCAUCAAGUCAGUA
rnacentral:lncRNA from 1 species